rnacentral:rRNA from 1 species
CCUACGGGAGACAGCAGUGGGGGAUAUUGCACAAUGGGGGGAACCCUGAAGCAGCGACGCCGCGUGAGUGAAGGAGGGCUUAGGCGUGUAAAGCCCUUUUGGCCGGGGAGAAGAUGACGGUACCUGGCCAAGAAGCCGCGGCUAACUACGGGACACCAGCCGCGGUACUACGGAGGGGGCAAGCGUUAUCCGGAAUUACUGGGGGUAAAGGGGGCGGAGGGGGGAAUGCAAGCCAGGAGUUAAAGCCCGGGGGCCAACCCCGGGACUGCUGUUGAAACUGCCUGGCUGGAGUUCAGGAGGGGCAGGCGGAAUGCCUGGUGUAGCGGUGAAAUGCGUAGAUAUCAGGAGGAACACCGGUGGCGAAGGCGGCGUGCUGGA